CCUACGGGUGGCAGCAGUCGAGAAUCAUUCACAAUGGGGGAAACCCUGAUGGUGCGACGCCGCGUGGGGGAAUGAAGGUCUUCGGAUUGUAAACCCCUGUCAUGUGGGAGCAAAUUAAAAAGAUAGUACCACAAGAGGAAGAGACGGCUAACUCUGUGCCAGCAGCCGCGGUAAUACAGAGGUCUCAAGCGUUGUUCGGAAUCACUGGGCGUAAAGCGUGCGUAGGCUGUUUCGUAAGUCGUGUGUGAAAGGCGCGGGCUCAACCCGCGGACGGCACAUGAUACUGCGGGACUAGAGUGAUGGAGGGGGAAGCGGAAUUCUCGGUGUAGCAGUGAAAUGCGUAGAUAUCGAGAGGAACACUAGUGGCGAAGGCGGGUUCCUGGACAUUAACUGACGCUGAGGCACGAAGGCCAGGGGAGCGAAAGGGAUUAGAUACCCUUGUAGUC
rnacentral:rRNA from 1 species